UUGAACCUGUUAUUGCGCAUGAUCUUUUCAUAUACUUCCUUUUCCGUUUGCCAUCUUGAAGUGUAGGAUUCGGUGAAUACUGUUUCACUUUAAUCCAAGUCACCAUGACGAAUAAAUAUAUCAGUAAUAUGGCUGUUGGUGUUAAAAAGGGGCAUAAAGUUACAAAAAUAGAAAACCCUAAAAAAAAGAAAGCCAACAG